rnacentral:rRNA from 1 species
GACGAACGCUGGCGGCGUGCUUAACACAUGCAAGUCGAACGGAAAGGCCCUGCUUUUGUGGGGUGCUCGAGUGGCGAACGGGUGAGUAACACGUGAGUAACCUGCCCUUGACUUUGGGAUAACUUCAGGAAACUGGGGCUAAUACCGGAUAGGAGCUCCUGCUGCAUGGUGGGGGUUGGAAAGUUUCGGCGGUUGGGGAUGGACUCGCGGCUUAUCAGCUUGUUGGUGGGGUAGUGGCUUACCAAGGCUUUGACGGGUAGCCGGCCUGAGAGGGUGACCGGACACAUUGGGACUGAGAUACGGCCCAGACUCCUACGGGAGGCAGCAGUGGGGAAUAUUGCACAAUGGGCGGAAGCCUGAUGCAGCAACGCCGCGUGCAGGAUGACGGCCUUCGGGUUGUAAACCGCUUUCGCCUGUGACGAAGCGUGAGUGACGGUAAUGGGUAAAGAAGCACCGGCUAACUACGUG